UCUCCGUUGGUGAACCAGCGGAGGGAUCAUUACAGAGUUUACAACUCCCAAACCCUUAUGUGAACAUACCAAGAUGUUGCUUCGGCGGACUCGCCCCGGCGUCCGGACGGCCUAGCGCCGCCCGCGGCCCGGACUCAGGCGGCCGCCGGAGACCACCAAACUCUUUUGUAUCAUGAGUAUCUUCUGAAUCCGCCGCAAGGCAAAACAAAUGAAUCAAAACUUUCAACAACGGAUCUCUUGGUUCUGGCAUCGAUGAAGAACGCAGCGAAAUGCGAUAAGUAAUGUGAAUUGCAGAAUUCAGUGAAUCAUCGAAUCUUUGAACGCACAUUGCGCCCGCCAGCAUUCUGGCGGGCAUGCCUGUUCGAGCGUCAUUUCAACCCUCGACUUCCCUUUGGGGAAAUCGGCGUUGGGGACCGGCAGCAUACCGCCGGCCCCGAAAUGGAGUGGCGGCCCGUCCGCGGCGACCUCUGCGUAGUAAUCCAACCUCGCACCGGAACCCCGACGUGGCCACGCCGUAAAACACCCCACUUUCUGAACGUUGACCUCGGAUCAGGUAGGAAUACCCGCUGAACUUAAGCAUAUCAAUAAGCGGAGGAAAAGAAACCAACAGGGAUUGCCCCAGUAACGGCGAGUGAAGCGGCAACAGCUCAAAUUUGAAAUCUGGCCUUCGGGUCCGAGUUGUAAUUUGUAGAGGAUACUUUUGGCGAGGUGCCUUCCGAGUUCCCUGGAACGGGACGCCAUAGAGGGUGAGAGCCCCGUCUGGUCGGAUACCAAGCCUCUGUAAAGUUCCUUCGACGAGUCGAGUAGUUUGGGAAUGCUGCUCAAAAUGGGAGGUAUAUGUCUUCUAAAGCUAAAUAUUGGCCAGAGACCGAUAGCGCACAAGUAGAGUGAUCGAAAGAUGAAAAGCACUUUGAAAAGAGGGUUAAAAAGUACGUGAAAUUGUUGAAAGGGAAGCGCCUAUGACCAGACUUGGGCCCGGUGAAUCAUCCAGCGUUCUCGCUGGUGCACUUUGCCGGGCACAGGCCAGCAUCAGUUUGGCGCGGGGGAUAAAGGCUUUGGGAAUGUGGCUCCCUCGGGAGUGUUAUAGCCCAUUGUGUAAUACCCUGCGCCGGACUGAGGUACGCGCAUUGCGAGGAUGC
rnacentral:rRNA from 1 species